AUUUUGUUUAAUUUUGAAUAUUUAGGCUGGAAUUGACCGAGCUAAUGGCCGUGCGACCAGUAAUGCUCAGCGAAUUGCUCGUUGGAUGAUUUUGCCAAAAGAUUUUAGUCUAGCUGAUGGAGAUCUUACACCAACCAUGAAGGUGAAGAGGAAUGUUAUCUUGAAGAAGUAUGAGCGGAGCCUGCAAAAAAUCUACAAUGUCUAAUAACUCCGC